GAUGAACGCUGGCGGCGUGCCUAAUACAUGCAAGUCGAGCGAACAGACGAGGAGCUUGCUCCUCUGACGUUAGCGGCGGACGGGUGAGUAACACGUGGAUAACCUACCUAUAAGACUGGGAUAACUUCGGGAAACCGGAGCUAAUACCGGAUAAUAUAUUGAACCGCAUGGUUCAAUAGUGAAAGACGGUUUUGCUGUCACUUAUAGAUGGAUCCGCGCCACAUUAGCUAGUUGGUAAGGUAACGGCUUACCAAGGCAACGAUGCGUAGCCGACCUGAGAGGGUGAUCGGCCACACUGGAACUGAGGCACGGUCCAGACUCCUACGGGAGGCAGCAGUAGGGAAUCUUCCGCAAUGGGCGAAAGCUUGACGGAGCAACGCCGCGUGAGUGAUGAAGGUCUUCGGAUCGUAAAACUCUGUUAUUAGGGAAGAACAAAUGUGUAAGUAACUAUGCACGUCUUGACGGUACCUAAUCAGAAAGCCACGGCUAACUACGUG
rnacentral:rRNA from 1 species